AGAGUAUNGGAGAGGAAAGUGGAAUUCCUAGUGUAGCGGUGAAAUGCGUAGAUAUUAGGAAGANCACCAGUGGCGAAGGCGACUUUCUGGACGAAAACUGACGCUGAGGCGCGAAAGCCAGGGGAGCGAACGGGAUUAGAUACCCCGGUAGUCCUGGCCGUAAACGAUGGGUACUAGGUGUAGGAGGUAUCGACCCCUUCUGUGCCGGAGUUAACGCAAUAAGUACCCCGCCUGGGGAGUACGACCGCAAGGUUGAAACUCAAAGGAAUUGACGGGGGCCCGCACAAGCGGUGGAGUAUGUGGUUUAAUUCGACGCAACGCGAAGAACCUUACCAGGUCUUGACAUUGAUGGACAGAACCAGAGAUGGUUCCUCUUCUUCGGAAGCCAGAAAACAGGCGGUGCACGGUUGUCGUCAGCUCGUGUCGUGAGAUGUUGGGUUAAGUCNNNCAACGAGCGCAACCCCUAUCUUAUGUUGCCAGCACGUAAAGGUGGGAACUCAUGAGAGACUGCCGCAGACAAUGCGGAGGAAGGCGGGGAUGACGUCAAAUCAUCAUGCCCCUUAUGACCUGGGCUACACACGUACUACAAUGGGAGUUAAUAGACGUAAGCGAGAUCGCGAGAUGGAGCAAACCCGAGAAACACUCUCUCAGUUCGGAUCGUAGGCUGCAACUCG
rnacentral:rRNA from 1 species